rnacentral:rRNA from 1 species
UACGGAAGGCAGCAGUGGGGAAUAUUGCACAAUGGGCGCAAGCCUGAUGCAGCCAUGCCGCGUGUAUGAAGAAGGCCUUCGGGUUGUAAAGUACUUUCAGCGGGGAGGAAGGCGGUGGAGUUAAUAGCUUCACCGAUUGACGUUACCCGCAGAAGAAGCACCGGCUAACUCCGUGCCAGCAGCCGCGGUAAUACGGAGGGUGCAAGCGUUAAUCGGAAUUACUGGGCGUAAAGCGCACGCAGGCGGUCUGUCAAGUCGGAUGUGAAAUCCCCGGGCUUAACCUGGGAACUGCAUUCGAAACUGGCAGGCUAGAGUCUUGUAGAGGGGGUAGAAUUCCAGGUGUAGCGGUGAAAUGCGUAGAGAUCUGGAGGAAUACCGGUGGCGAAGGCGGCCCCUGGGACAAAGACUGACGCUCAGGGUGCGAAAGCGUGGGGAGCAAACAGGAUUAGGAUACC